rnacentral:snRNA from 1 species
UAUGGGUUUAGAUACACUC